AUUGAACGCUGGCGGCAGGCCUAACACAUGCAAGUCGAGCGGAUGAAGGGAGCUUGCUCCUGGAUUCAGCGGCGGACGGGUGAGUAAUGCCUAGGAAUCUGCCUGGUAGUGGGGGAUAACGUCCGGAAACGGGCGCUAAUACCGCAUACGUCCUGAGGGAGAAAGUGGGGGAUCUUCGGACCUCACGCUAUCAGAUGAGCCUAGGUCGGAUUAGCUAGUUGGUGGGGUAAAGGCCUACCAAGGCGACGAUCCGUAACUGGUCUGAGAGGAUGAUCAGUCACACUGGAACUGAGACACGGUCCAGACUCCUACGGGAGGCAGCAGUGGGGAAUAUUGGACAAUGGGCGAAAGCCUGAUCCAGCCAUGCCGCGUGUGUGAAGAAGGUCUUCGGAUUGUAAAGCACUUUAAGUUGGGAGGAAGGGCAGUAAGUUAAUACCUUGCUGUUUUGACGAUACCAACAGAAUAAGCACCGGCUAACUUCGUG
rnacentral:rRNA from 1 species